rnacentral:lncRNA from 1 species
ACAGCACCCACCCCUCUCCCCAGUUCCACCUCAUCUUCUAAAAGGAGGACCCUUGUCCACACAGCCAUAGCCAUUCUGGCCUUGUUCUUCCACAGAGAAACCAGGCAAAAACCUACCUACCCCAGGACCUUUGCACUGACUUUCCUGUGCCGGGAGCACCUUUCACUCAGAUCCACUUGGCCAAAUCCAGCUGUCUUCAAAUCUUCACUCAAAUGAGGACUGGAGGACUGCUCGCCUCAACCUACCCAGUGUGAUUAUUGCAGCACAUAUGGUUUAGAGCCGUUGAGAAAAAUAAUGGAUCUGCCUGAAUUAGCACCUGACUUGGGCAGCAUCACCAGAGAACCAGUCUCGCCAGUUCACUUUGCUUUGCUCCCAGCCAUGAUCGACCUCCUUGCAUACUUCAACACAUCAAUAUUGAUGGAGAGCCCAGGCUGUAUCUCCUUCAAGCUGUAGGCACAAUGGCCCUGGUGGGAAGUUCAUCCAUCAGAAGAAAUUUCCUGGUAAGAACUUCUUGCUGAAUCAUUAGUUUGGAAUCUUAUCCAUGACAAAUGACACAACCAAUAGAAAUAAUUCCUGGUUUUUCAUCCACACUGUUCCAAUGAUUGACUAGAUGGCAAGCACAUAGUCUUUAGUCUGCAUAAUGUGGAAUCUAUGGAAUGUUUGGAGCUAGAGCUGGCAAGACAGAAGAUCACCAUAGCUAAAUGUAGAUAAUUCUCAGAGAUUUGAUUUUGUGUUUUAUCUCAACCAUCAGCUCUUCAUCAGCUGAGGAAAGCACUCCUGCACUCCAGUCUUUUUUCAGUCCCUGUCAUUUUUGAGCUCUCAUUUAGUAUAGUUCCAUGGAUUUCAUGUUAUCCCUACCUUCUUCCAAGAUGGAUUUCAUAUUUAAAAAUUAUUAAAAGCUAAACAAGAAACAAUACGCCCAUGUCCCACUAUGGUCAGUCCUCUCACUGUCUCAAACACGGAAGUACAACAACACAAACAAGAUUGUCAUGGCAAGAAACUU